UACGGAGGAUCCAAGCGUUAUCCGGCAUCGUUGGGUUUAAAGGGUCCGUAGGUGGAUGAUUAAGUCAGAGGUGAAAUCCUGCAGCUCAACUGUAGAAUUGCCUUUGAAACUGGUUAUCUUGAGUCAUUAUGAAGUAGUUAGAAUAUGUAGUGUAGCGGUGAAAUGCAUAGAUAUUACAUAGAAUACCAAUUGCGAAGGCAGAUUACUAAUAAUGUACUGACACUGAUGGACGAAAGCGUGGGGAGCAAACAGG
rnacentral:rRNA from 1 species